UUUGCCUACGGGAGGCAGCAGUGGGGAAUAUUGCACAAUGGGGAAAACCCUGAUGCAGCGACGCCGCGUGAGCGAGGAAGUAUUUCGGUAUGUAAAGCUCUGUCAGCAGGGAAGAAGAAUGACGGUACCUGAAGAAGAAGCACCGGCUAAAUACGUGCCAGCAGCCGCGGUAAUACGUAUGGUGCAAGCGUUAUCCGGAUUUACUGGGUGUAAAGGGAGCGCAGGCGGUUCUGCAAGGCUGAUGUGAAAGCCCGGGGCUCAACCGCGGGGCAGCAUUGGAAACUGCGG
rnacentral:rRNA from 1 species